UAACAGAGGCUCGCCAGAAACAGGUGUGACCAAUGGCCGUUUUUUUUUCUUCAUGAAAUCAUUAUAAUAAAUAGGGAAAGAAUAGAGCCUUUUUCAGUUAUUCCGGCUUUUAGAGAAACCUUGUUGAUUCAUUAAGUACAAAACAGUUUUUGCUUUUGACUUUGUUUAUUAAAGCAAAAGUGUGACUGAUUAUUUCUAGAUAUUUUUACCAAAAGAAAAGGUCCGUUGAGUAAAUUUUUUUUAUUGGUUUUUCAUUUUGGCUCGUAGUUAGCUGACUUGUUACAAAAAUCUGGCCAACAAACCAAAGUAUCAAAUCAACAGGAGUAAAUUUAUUGACAAAACAAGACGCGAAAUUAAAUUUGGUUUGAUUCUUGAAACUGGAAAAGUCGAGUUUGGCUAAAUUGAGUCUUGAUUUUUGACCAUUGAACUUUUGAUUGUGUGUGUUCUGGUCACUAGGGAGUCUCCGUGAAGAAGACGUGAGAUUUGAAGGACUAUAAUUUGUGGGAACAAACAAGGUAAAAGUACUUGGAUUGAAUGUUGAAACCGGUAAUGAAGAUGAAUCACAGAACAAGUCUACAGGUGAAGGCCGUAAUCUACGUUGUCCUCGUUGGCUGCUGUUUCACACUGAAUGCGCAUGCGUGGAAUUUCGAUGAUGCAGACGAAGGUGAAGACUUGGCGCAUGGAACACGAGACACGGCAUCCAACUCCUAUGGAGAGCGAGACAUGAGACUUCUCAAUAUGUUGAUGAGGGUAGCUAGGUCAAGACUUGAAGACAGAUCUUCCUUAUCCAGCAAAGAUGGGCCGCUACAAUCGGCGCUGACCAAAGAACGUUUCGUCAAUGUGUUUAAACGUCAGAGACCAUGUUUUUGGUCUGUCAUUUCAUGCUAUUGAACAUUAAAAUGACAUAGUCAGCAGUAACCACUA